GGGCGAGUUCGAAACAAGACGAGAAAUAGAAUUACAAAUUUCAAAUCAGUAGCGCAACAUAUUUUCAAAUACUGCUAGAGGCAGAAAACAUACCUGGAACCAACGUCUCAUCGGAACUUAACAAUCAGAGCAUAUCAAAUUCACACAGAUGAUUCAGCACAAAUGCAGUUUAGAUAAAUAGAAUACAGACAGAUAAUCUUACAGUCAGUACUCUUAAACAGAUGCGGAUGAAAUGCAGUUGAGUGAUAAAACCCGCC
rnacentral:lncRNA from 1 species